AUAAAAGAGGAUAAAAGAAGAGGCUAUCCCAAUAAUGUUAAUGUUUGCUUCUGGGGCGCCCUCUGAGGUCACGGGGCUGAGGAGACACCGCUGGAGCAGAAGGUUGGAAACUGGACGUCUUCAACAGUCUUGAGUGCCGUCUGUGACAGGCCUACUAAGUGCCAGGUGGUCCAGAAUCAGGGGAUUGGCGGACAAAGGAUGUCUGGGUCCUGUAGAGCACAAGCAAACCGUGGCUGUUCUUGAUUUUGAGAAGGUCCUUCAUCUUUUCUGGGCUCGAGGAUAAUUCUCUCCCUAUCUGGAUUUCCUGUUCACACCCAUGCCCACACCUAUGUCUAUACCUGCCUUAGAGUAAGAAAAGUCACUGCCUGAAGGAGGG
rnacentral:lncRNA from 1 species